CAUCCCCAAGAUGCUCCUCGCCCCGUACUCCCUGGGCCUCACGGCCACCCCCGAGCGUCCCGAUGGCGGCCACGAAGUCCUGCCGGACCUCGUCGGCCCCAUCGUCUAUCGGCGCUCGCCCGAGGACCUCGCCGGAACGUACCUCGCGCCCUUCGAGCUGGUCCGCAUCCCCAUAGAGCUGACCGCCCAGGAGCGGUUCGAGUACGCCCAGGCCGACGCGGUAUACAGGGACUUCCUGAACAAGCACCGCCUCGU
rnacentral:misc_RNA from 1 species